rnacentral:misc_RNA from 1 species
GAUGAAGAACGUAGCGAAAUGCGAUAAGUAAUGUGAAUUGCAGAAUUCAGUGAAUCAUCGAAUCUUUGAACGCACAUUGCGCCCCCUGGUAUUCCGGGGGGCAUGCCUGUCCGAGCGUCAUUACAACCCUCAAGCUCAGCUUGGUGUUGGGCCCCGCCGCCCCGGCGGGCCCUAAAGUCAGUGGCGGUGCCGUCCGGCUCCGAGCGUAGUAAUUCUUCUCGCUCUGGAGGUCCGGUCGUGUGCUCGCCAGCAACCCCCAAUUUUUUUCAGGUUGACUUCGGAUCAGGUAGGGAUACCCGCUGAACUUAAGCAUAUCAAUAAGCGGAGGA